AAGCAUCUCCCUCCAUGCCCUGUGUUUAGUUUUAUCACUUCAUCGGCUACUCCACUCCUCUCCCAAACUCCAUAUUUGUCCCAAACUCAUUGUUCUAAGUUAACUAUUAGUUUAUCACUUCAUGAAGUAAUUAGAAUACGUUGCUUGGAUUUUGAUUGGCUAGAAAUGUUCUACAAUCCACUUAUCUUAUCAACAAUUAUCUUAAAACAGAGAACUAAACCAACAGUUACAAACUAUAUAUUUUUUUACUUACAAGAAAACCAAAACACAUGAGCCACUCAUCAUCUUACAACCCACAUUAAACCAAAACAAAACUUCAUUUUCUUCUUUGCAAUUUGACAUCUGUUUUCCCCUAUACACCCAUUGUCCUCCUCUCAUUUCUCUCUUUCCCCAUCUUUUUUAUUUUUUCCUUUUUUUUAUAGAAACCACAUCUUUACAUCACCACACAAUAACCCAUAAAAUCAAAAAUCGUUACCCACAUUUUUCUUUCAUUCUAUCCUAAAUCCUCAUCACUCAACCUGACUCUCACAUAAAAAAACACUCAAACAAAAAGAGAGAGAGAGAGAGCUUAGGGCGGAGAAGAAGAGGGAACCAAAACAACAAACAACAAUGGCUGUCUCAACCAUCUACUCAACACAAGCUCUCAAUUCAACUCAUUUCUUAACUUCUUCUUCCUCCUCCAAACAAGUCUUCCUCUACCGUCGUCAACCACAAACCAACCGUAGAUUCAACACUCUCAUCACUUGCUCUCAAGAAACCAUCGUGAUCGGCCUCGCUGCCGACUCUGGCUGCGGUAAGAGUAC
rnacentral:lncRNA from 1 species